rnacentral:tRNA from 1 species
GGCCUUAUCGUCUAGUGGUUAGGACGCCAGGUUCUCAUCCUGGUAACCGGGGUUCGACUCCCCGUGGGGCUA